UCGAUGGGUCAGGUGCCAGG
rnacentral:misc_RNA from 1 species